UACGUAGGGUGCAAGCGUUAAUCGGAAUUACUGGGCGUAAAGCGUGCGCAGGCGGUUAUGUAAGACAGGUGUGAAAUCCCCGGGCUUAACCUGGGAACUGCAUUGUGACUGCAUAGCUAGAGUACGGUAGAGGGGGAUGGAAUUCCGCGUGUAGCAGUGAAAUGCGUAGAUAUGCGGAGGAACACCAAUGGCGAAGGCAGCCCCCUGGGUUAACACUGACGCUCAUGCACGAAAGCGUGGGGAGCAAACAGG
rnacentral:rRNA from 1 species